ACAUCCAGCGAACUUGGCAGAGAUGCCUUGGUGCCUUCGGGAACGCUGAGACAGGUGCUGCAUGGCUGUCGUCAGCUCGUGUUGUGAAAUGUUGGUUAAGUCCCGCAACGAGCGCAACCCUUUAUCCUUUGUUGCCAGCGAUUCGGUCGGGAACUCAAAGGAGACUGCCGGUGAUAAACCGGAGGAAGGUGGGGAUGACGUCAAGUCAUCAUGGCCCUUACGAGUAGGGCUACACACGUGCUACAAUGGCGCAUACAAAGAGAAGCGACCUCGCGAGAGCAAGCGGACCUCAUAAAGUGCGUCGUAGUCCGGAUCGGAGUCUGCAACUCGACUCCGUGAAGUCGGAAUCGCUAGUAAUCGUGGAUCAGAAUGCCACGGUGAAUACGUUCCCGGGCCUUGUACACACCGCCCGUCACACCAUGGGAGUGGGUUGCAAAAGAAGUAGGUAGCUUAACCCUCGGGAGGGCGCUUACCACUUUGUGAUUCAUGACUGGGGUGAAGUCGUAACAAGGUAAGCGUAGCGAG
rnacentral:rRNA from 1 species